GGCGCUGUUAUAAUCCCGUGCCGCGCAUCUGAUCUGUGAGCGGGACGAUUCAUGCACAGCGAAGAUGC
rnacentral:snoRNA from 1 species